rnacentral:rRNA from 1 species
GACGAACGCUGGCGGCGUGCUUAACACAUGCAAGUCGAACGGAAAGGCCCUGCUGUUGUGGGGUGCUCGAGUGGCGAACGGGUGAGUAACACGUGAGUAACCUGCCCUUGACUUUGGUAUAACUUCAGGAAACUGGGGCUAAUACCGGAUAGGAGCUCCUGCUGCAUGGUGGGGGUUGGAAAGUUUCGGCGGUUGGGGAUGGACUCGCGGCUUAUCAGCUUGUUGGUGGGGUAGUGGCUUACCAAGGCUUUGACGGGUAGCCGGCCUGAGAGGGUGAACGGCCACAUUGGGAAUGAGAUACGGCCCAGACGCAUACGGGAGGCAAGAGUGGGGAAUAGUGCACAAAGGGCGGAAGCCUGAUGGAGCAACGCCGCGUGCGGGAUGACGGCCUUCGGGUUGUAAGCCGCUUUCGCCUGUGACGAAGCGUGAGUGACGGGAAUGAGUAAAGAAGCACCGGCUAACUACGU